UACGAAGGGGACUAGCGUUGUUCGGAAUCACUGGGCGUAAAGCGCACGUAGGCGGAUGUGUCAGUCAGGGGUGAAAUCCCGGGGCUCAACCUCGGAACUGCCUUUGAUACAGCACGUCUCGAGUCCGGAAGAGGUGGGUGGAAUUCCUGGUGUAGCGGUGAAAUGCGCAGAUAUCAGGAGGAACACCAACGGCGAAGGCAGCUCGCUGGGACGGUACUGACGCUGAGACGCGAAAGCGUGGGGAGCGAACAGG
rnacentral:rRNA from 1 species